AUUGAACGCUGGCGGCAUGCCUUACACAUGCAAGUCGAACGGUAACAGGUCUUCGGAUGCUGACGAGUGGCGAACGGGUGAGUAAUACAUCGGAACGUGCCCGAUCGUGGGGGAUAACGAGGCGAAAGCUUUGCUAAUACCGCAUACGAUCUACGGAUGAAAGCAGGGGACCGCAAGGCCUUGCGCGGACGGAGCGGCCGAUGGCAGAUUAGGUAGUUGGUGGGAUAAAAGCUUACCAAGCCGACGAUCUGUAGCUGGUCUGAGAGGACGACCAGCCAAUCUGGGGCUGAGACACGGCCCAGACUCCUACGGGAGGCAGCAGGGGGGAAUUUUUGACAAUGGGCGAAAGCCUGGUUCAGCAAUGCCGCGUGCAGGAUGAAGGCCUUCGGGUUGUAAACUGCUUUUGUACGGAACGAAAAGUCUAGGGCUAAUAUCCCUGGAUCAUGACGGUACCGUAAGAAUAAGCACCGGCUAACUACGUGCCAGCAGCCGCAGUAACAC
rnacentral:rRNA from 1 species